CCUACGGGACGCACCAGUGGGGAAUAUUGCACAAUGGGCGCAAGCCUGAUGCAGCCAUGCCGCGUGUAUGAAGAAGGCCUUCGGGUUGUAAAGUACUAUCAGCGGGGAGGAAGGUGUUGUGGUUAAUAACCGCAGCAAUUGACGUUACCCGCAGAAGAAGCACCGGCUAACUCCGUGCCAGCAGCCGCGGUAAUACGGAGGGUGCAAGCGUUAAUCGGAAUUACUGGGCGUGAAGCGCACGCAGGCGGUCUGUCAAGUCGGAUGUGAAAUCCCCGGGCUCAACCUGGGAACUGCAUUCGAAACUGGCAGGCUAGAGUCUUGUAGAGGGGGGUAGAAUUCCAGGUGUAGCGGUGAAAUGCGUAGAGAUCUGGAGGAAUACCGGUGGCGAAGGCGGCCCCCUGGACAAAGACUGACGCUCAGGUGCGAGAGCGUGGGGGCAAACAGGAUUAGAUACCCCUGUAGUC
rnacentral:rRNA from 1 species